rnacentral:rRNA from 1 species
UACAGAGGUCUCGAGCGUUGUUCGGAUUCAUUGGGCGUAAAGGGUGCGUAGGUGGCGCUGUAAGUCGGGUGUGAAAAUCCUGAGGCUUAACCUCGGAACUGCAUUCGAUACUGCGGCGCUUGAGGACUGGGAGAGGAGACUGGAAUUCAUGGUGUAGCAGUGAAAAUGCGUAGAGAUCAUGAGGAAGACCAGUGGCGAAGGCGGGGUCUCUGGACAGUUCCUGACACUGAGGCACGAAGGCCCAGGGGGAGCAAAACGGG